rnacentral:rRNA from 1 species
CUGGCGGCGCGCCUAACACGUGCAAGUCAAACGAGCGAGAGAGAGCUUGCUUUCUCGAGCGAGUGGCGAACGGGUGAGUAACGCGUGAGGAACCUGCCUCAGAGAGGGCGACAACAGUUGGAAACGACUGCUAAUACCGCAUAAGCCCACGGGUCGGCCUCGACCAGAGGGAAAAGGAGCAAUCCGCUUUGACAUGGCCUCCCCUCCGAUUAGCUAGUUGGUGAGGUAACGGCCCACCAAGGCGACGAUGCAUAGCCGGCCUGAGAGGGCGGACGGCCACAUUGGGACUGAGACACGGCCCAAACUCCUACGGGAGGCAGCAGUAGGGAAUUUUCGUCAAUGGGGGGAACCCUGAACGAGCAAUGCCGCGUGAGUGAGGAAGGUCUUCGGAUCGUAAUGCUCUGUUGUAAGAGAAAAACGGCACUCAUAGGGAAUGAUGAGUGAGUGAUGGUAUCUUACCAGAAAGUCACGGCUAACUACGUGCCAGCAGCCGCGGUAAUACGUAGGUGGCGAGCGUUAUCCGGAAUGAUUGGGCGUAAAGGGUGCGUAGGUGGCAGAUCAAGUCUGGAGUAAAAGGUAUGGGCUCAACCCGUACUUGCUCUGGAAACUGAUCAGCUAGAGAACAGAAGAGGACGGCGGAACUCCAUGUGUAGCGGUAAAAUGCGUAGAUAUAUGGAAGAACACCGGUGGCGAAGGCGGCCGUCUGGUCUGGAUUCUGACACUGAAGCACGAAAGCGUGGGGAGCAAAUAGGAUUAGAUACCCUAGUAGUCCACGCCGUA